UACGUAGGGGGCGAGCGUUGUCCGGAAUCAUUGGGCGUAAAGAGCGUGUAGGCGGACUGGAAGGUCUGGUGUGAAAGCCCGGGGCUCAACCCCGGAGGGUCACUGGAAACCAACAGUCUUGAGUCCGGAAGAGGAGAGUGGAAUUCCUGGUGUAGCGGUGGAAUGCGCAGAUAUCAGGAGGAACACCGGUGGCGAAGGCGGCGAGCUGGUCCAUUACUGACGCUGAGGCGCGACAGCGUGGGGAGCAAACAGG
rnacentral:rRNA from 1 species